rnacentral:rRNA from 1 species
UACGGAGGGAGCAAGCGUUGUCCGGAAUCAUUGGGCGUAAAGCGCGCGUAGGCGGCCCGAUAAGUCCGCUGUGAAAGUCAACGGCUCAACUGUUGAAAGCCGGUGGAUACUGUCGGGCUAGAGUACGGAAGAGGCAAGUGGAAUUCCUGGUGUAGCGGUGGAAUGCGCAGAUAUCAGGAGGAACACCUAUAGCGAAGGCAGCUUGCUGGGACGUUACUGACGCUAAGGCGCGAAAGCGUGGGGAGCGAACAGG